rnacentral:rRNA from 1 species
GACGAACGCUGGCGGCGUGCUUAACACAUGCAAGUCGAACGGAGUGGCGAACGGGUGAGUAACACGUAAUCAACCUGCCCUUCAGAGGGGGACAACAGUUGGAAACGACUGCUAAUACCGCAUACUGAAGGAGGGGAUUGCGUCUGAUUAGCUAGUUGGAGGGGUAACGGCCCACCAAGGCGAUGAUCAGUAGCCGGUCUGAGAGGAUGAACGGCCACAUUGGGACUGAGACACGGCCCAGACUCCUACGGGAGGCAGCAGUGGGGAAUCUUCCGCAAUGGACGAAAGUCUGACGGAGCAACGCCGCGUGAGUGAUGACGGCCUUCGGGUUGUAAACUCCUUUCGACAGGGACGCGGUACCUGUAUAAGAAGCACCGGCUAACUACGUGCCAGCAGCCGCGGUAAUAC